GACGUAGGGCGCAAGCGUUGUCCGGAAUUAUUGGGCGUAAAGAGCUCGUAGGCGGUUUGUCACGUCGGCCGUGAAAACUCGGGGCUCAACCCCGAGCCUGCGGUCGAUACGGGCAGACUAGAGUGCUGUAGGGGAGACUGGAAUUCCUGGUGUAGCGGUGAAAUGCGCAGAUAUCAGGAGGAACACCGGUGGCGAAGGCGGGUCUCUGGGCAGUAACUGACGCUGAGGAGCGAAAGCGUGGGGAGCGAACAGG
rnacentral:rRNA from 1 species